rnacentral:rRNA from 1 species
AUGGUGGCGUUUCUCGGCGGCGUGGCGCAGUGGAGACUCGGCGCCCGAUGUGUGGCGAGGGACUCGCGCAGUGGCCGUAUGCAUCGUCCAGAUGCAGAGGUAGAGGUUGAAUUUGCAGACGGCAGUACAUUCCAUCUCUCAGCCGAGUUUCUUAGAGUCUACAGUCCGGCAGCUGACAAUAAGAUCAGAUCAAUAGCUGUCAAGAAGGCUAUUUUUGGGUGCCGACAUGUUGGAAUAAUGUCAGCUGAAUCAAUAGGAAACUAUGGAGUCUGGAUACUGUUUGAUGAUUUGCACAAGACUGGGAUCUUCACUUGGGACUACUUGCACCAUCUGGGUUCUAACAAAUUCAGUCUAUCACGAAAUUAUAUCAGAACUUUGAGGAAACAUGGUCUUAGUCGGGAUCCUCAGAGAAGGAAAUGA